AAACAUCGAUCUUUACACAAAAAUCCGCCCGGGAACUACAAACACGAGUUUAAAACCCAAAGGACUUGGCGGUGCUUAACAUCCACCUAGAGGAGCCUGUUCUAGAACCGAUAACCCCCGUUUAACCUCACCCCCCCUAGUCUAAAACCGCCUAUAUACCACCGUCGCCAGCUUACCCUGCAAAGGCCCCAAAGUAAGCAAAACUAGCACUGCUCAGAACGUCAGGUCGAGGUGUAGCGCAUGGGGGGGAAGAAAUGGGCUACAUUCGCUACCCCUAGCGUAUAACGAAUGACUGCGUUGAAACACGCGUUUGAAGGAGGAUUUAGAAGUAAGCAAAAAAUAGAGUGUUUU
rnacentral:rRNA from 1 species